GACGAACGCUGGCGGCGUGCUUAACACAUGCAAGUCGAACGGAAAGGCCCUGCUUUUGUGGGGUGCUCGAGUGGCGAACGGGUGAGUAACACGUGAGUAACCUGCCCUUGACUUUGGGAUAACUUCAGGAAACUGGGGCUAAUACCGGAUAGGAGCUCCUGCUGCAUGGUGGUGGUUGGAAAGUUUCGGCGGUUGGGGAUGGACUCGCGGCUUAUCAGCUUGUUGGUGGGGUAGUGGCUUACCAAGGCUUUGACGGGUAGCCGGCCUGAGAGGGUGACCGGGCACAAUGGGACUGAGGUAGGGAGCAGACUGCUACGGGGGGCAGCGGGCGGGAAUAUUGCACAAUGGGCGGAAGCCUGAUGCAGCAACGCCGCGUGCGGGAUGCCGGCCUUCGGGUUGUAAACAGCUUUCGCCUGUGACGAAGCGUGAGUGACGGUAAUGAGUAAAGAAGCACCGGCUAACUACGUG
rnacentral:rRNA from 1 species